GUUUUUCUGUGCAGAUAUGGUUGGAGGUGAGACAGCGAAAGAAGCUCGGAGGCUGAAUAGGGAGAUCAGCAGGAAGGUACUUGAAAUUAAACGUGCUAAGGCCUGGAAGAGAGCCCGAAUUGAAGAGACAAACCCCGAGGCUCAAAUCCAAAGAGAAAUGAUCCCAGAAGUGCAGAUCCUCAGUACAAAACCUCCCCGAUCAGAACCUCCUCAACCCCCAAUUUCUUCGGCUACAGAGGGCGGAUCCUUAGGGUAAGGAGCCUCAUCUGGGUGACCUCUCUCGCAAGAUGCUAGAAUACUACUCCAAUCACUGGAGAAAAAC
rnacentral:misc_RNA from 1 species